GUGGUGUAGCGGCCAAUCAUCUACGGCUCUGGACCGUAGGACCCCGGUUCGAAUCCGGGCGGGGCUA
rnacentral:tRNA from 1 species